AAGAUGCCGAUGAUUCAAUCCCUCAUCAUGCAUCUUUAAGAAACAGUGUGAUUUGUACACAGUAUUUCGUGUACUCAAGAUGUGAACGUCUAUUUAAUUUACACAGUAUAUUGUUUUGCACCAGAUUCGGACGGUCAUUUUAUUACCGCAUAAUUAAUACGGCUUUCCUUAUCUGCGGAGCUUUCUGCAUCCUGGGCUUUCCUUAUCAGCGGAACUUUCCUUAUCAUACGGCUUACGGCUUUUCAUAGUCAAUAAUGGCGUAUGUGUGGAACCAUACAUACGGAAAGUUUCAGUAGGGUGCAUUUUGAUAGACGCAAAAGCUAGCUGCCCAUGUACUGUUAUGACAGCGAACGUUAGAAAUACCAGGUGGUCAAAAGUGCGGGAAUCCUCCACUUCAUCAUCUCUCAUAUAUCGCAACUUUCAGGCGUAAUAUCGUUAUUGAGAUAUUAUUAUCAUCGAACGUCAUGUUGGUGCAAUACAAGAAUUUCAUGCUGGUUAGAUGACUUAACUGGGCUAGUCGUGAAAUUUUGACACUUGGUGCAAUGUCAGCGCUUGGCAGUAUUGGAGUAAAAAAGACGGGCGAUGCAGACUAAAGCAUGAAACAACACCGGCUUUCUUCCAUCUUACUUGUUUGCGCAAACUCUUUUGAUACACGCACAAUUGUCAAUCAGCAUAUUGUUGCCCCAUAGCUUAACAUAGUGUGAGAGAAAGACAAAUGGUAUGACACAAAAAUAUUUAAAAAUGAUGCACAAAAACACACACGGUUUUGUGGGGUGACGCUAGCUGCAGUUUGUAACAGCAACCCUUUGUAUGCUAGGUUACGGCCAAUAUGGGUCUUUCAUAGGUCAGCGAAAUAUUGGUAAUCACUCAAAAUCGCUGAACAAAUAUAAUCUCCUCUGAGCGCUCCCUUGUACGCAUGAAAAUCGCCUCAGUCAGACUCACUUGAACUUCAAUUCACCAACAUAUUGCUCGUCAGGGCUCACAAAGACUCACUCUCGCCACUUGACCUGAGCCUGAGUGAGCCGAUUCAUAAGCUCGUGGGCACAGAAUUAUAUUUCUUGAUCAUAGUGUUAAUCAUCUUUAAAAUAUGUGCUGUUUACUACAUCCCUGUUGAUCUUAUGCCGUAAAGUACGCAUCAUUAGUUGUUGCGAUCUUGUAAUGUUAAAACGCCCCAAACACGAGUUAUUUUGAAAAGGCUCAAUUGAUUGAGUUUUCUGGGCCAGUCACAUAUGUCGCCCCCACCUUCGAAGUCACGCCUCUUAUAAAUCAAUUACGAGGGAUCAUGUGAACACGAGUGUGUUGAGGUAAGCGGUAAUGGAUAUGACUAAUAACGUAAGCCGAUUUAAGGCUGUUAAGGAAGCUGCUGAUGAGACGUAGGCGAGUCUCGUGCUAAUAAUUUUUGGUACUUGUAGAAAAAGCUAUUGAGUACAUUUUUUUGCGAAGGAAGGAAUAUCUUUUGGAGAAAAACCACAGUGAGGAGGCCACAGUGAGCAUACCACAGUGAGGAGGCCAUGUUUUUUUUUCUGAACGCAGCUCCUUCAUUAUCGAUGACAUGUGCCGAAAGAUCAAGUCGUCCUUGGCAGAAUUAACAUUUGGUCAGAUCUGGGACUAGGACCUGACGAAGUACGCACCCGCCUUAAGGAGGCAUUCGAAAAGAUUAUGAAAGUGGUUCACAAAACGAUGUUGGAGGACAUCACAGACUCCCAAGGUUCUGCAUGUUAACAGCACCAAGAAUCUGGACAGUUAAAAUGACAUUACAAAAAAAUUUCUACCUCCUGAAUAAACUUGUUUCCAAAAUUACUACUUCCAAAAAUCACGAAAUAAACUUGUUUUUUCUCACUCUAA